UCGNUNUAUUNUCACCUCACUAUCCGCCAGGAACUACGAGCNAUAGCUUAAAACCCAAAGGACUUGGCGGUUCUUUAGACCCACUUAGAGGAGCCUGUUCUAGAACCGAUACUCCCCGUUCAACCUCACCUUUUCUUGUUUAACCCGCCUAUAUACCGCCGUCGUAGCUUCCCUGUGAAGGCCCUAUAGUAAGCAAAAAUGAUUAAAAUCCAAAACGUCAGGUCGUAGGUGUAGCAGCAUGAAAAGGAAAGAAAUGGGCUACAUUCCCUACCCCAGGGAACACGAAUAGUACACUGAAACACGUACUUGAAGGAGGAUUUAANAGU
rnacentral:rRNA from 1 species